GGGGUCAUGUGGAGAAGAGAUCAAGCAAGCCUUUAGGCUUGCUUGAUGGAGGGGAGCGGCAGACGGGUGAGUAACGCGUGGGAAACUACCCUUUGGUACGGAAUAACACAGAGAAAUUUGUGCUAAUACCGUAUGUGCCCUUCGGGGGAAAGAUUUAUCGCCAUAGGAUGUGCCCGCGUAGGAUUAGCUAGUUGGUGUGGUAAUGGCGCACCAAGGCGACGAUCCUUAGCUGGUCUGAGAGGAUGAUCAGCCACAUUGGGACUGAGACACGGCCCAAACUCCUACGGGAGGCAGCAGUGGGGAAUAUUGGACAAUGGGCGCAAGCCUGAUCCAGCCAUGCCGCGUGAGUGAUGAAGGCCUUAGGGUUGUAAAGCUCUUUCACCCACGACGAUAAUGACGGUAGUGGGAGAAGAAGCCCCGGCUAACUUCGUGCCAGCCGCCGCUGUAACAC
rnacentral:rRNA from 1 species